rnacentral:rRNA from 1 species
UUGAGACGCGGCAUACGGCUCAGUAACACGUGGUUAACCUACCCUCAGGACGGGGACAAACCCGGGAAACUGGGGCUAAUACCAGAUAGGCGAGGACGCCUGGAAUGGUUCUUCACCCAAAGGGCUUUGGAAACAUGCUUUUCAAAGUCGCCUGGGGAUGGGGCCGCGUCCGAUCAGGUUGUUGGUGAGGUAAUGGCUCACCAAGCCUAUAACCGGUACGGGCCGUGAGAGCGGUAGCCCGGAGAUGGGCACUGAGACAAGGGCCCAGGCCCUACGGGGCGCAGCAGUCGCGAAAACUCCGCAAUGCACGAAAGUGUGACGGGGCUACCCCGAGUGCCGUCCGCUGAGGAUGGCUUUUCCUCGGUGUAACUAGCCGGGGGAAUAAGGAGAGGGCAAGACUGGUGUCAGCCGCCGCGGUAAUACCAGCUCUCCGAGUUGUAGGGAUGAUUAUUGGGCUUAAAGCGUCCGUAGCUGGC